rnacentral:rRNA from 1 species
CCACUGCUGCGGGACCUGAUCAGCCAUCCCGCGUGUAUGAUGAAGGCCUUCGGGUUGUAAAGUACUUUUGGCAGAGAAGAAAAGGUAUCCCCUAAUACGGGAUACUGCUGACGGUAUCUGCAGAAUAAGCACCGGCUAACUACGUGCCAGCAGCCGCGGUAAUACGUAGGGUGCAAGCGUUAAUCGGAAUUACUGGGCGUAAAGCGUGUGUAGGCGGUUCGGAAAGAAAGAUGUGAAAUCCCAGGGCUCAACCUUGGAACUGCAUUUUUAACUGCCGAGCUAGAGUAUGUCAGAGGGGGGUAGAAUUCCACGUGUAGCAGUGAAAUGCGUAGAUAUGUGGAGGAAUACCGAUGGCGAAGGCAGCCCCCUGGGAUAAUACUGACGCUCAGACACGAAAGCGUGGGGAGCAAACAGGAUUAGAUACUCCCGUAGUCCUA